UUUUGGAUGCUGAUCCCUCAUCAGUGGUGAAACGGGUCGAUUUGCGCAAUGAUGAUAUUCCCAUUGCUGAACAAACAGUGGCCCAGGUGUUUCAGUCAGCUCGUGAACAGUUAAAAUGGUCCAUACUAAAGUAAAGAUAACAAACUUC
rnacentral:sRNA from 1 species